ACACACAUUUGUUUUAUCACUGGAUCGUUGAGUGCAGAGAGGAACUUUGGUUGAAGGGAGUUGCAAAGACUAAGGCUUGAAUCAAUCCGUAGCGAAGAAGAUUGCGUUCGAGUGCGGUUGACAUUUAAAGUGUCCUCAAAGCGGAAACAGCUGGCAGAAAGAAAGGAGAAGUCCUAGAUCCCGGGGAGAGAUGGACCCAUCAAGAAGAGGAACACCAGAGAUGCCCCCAUCUCAGAAUUCAGCCCCCAAACGCAGCCCCCAUGAAUGGCACAACACCCUGUGCCCUGGUAUGGGUAGAGCGGAGAAGCACAGAACAAGGAAUCAAAACUGUGUGACCCCAGGGUGGCAAGGUCAAGUCAAGAUCAAUAGUUCAAGCUGACCUCUGGGGCACGAGAAGGGCAAGCAUCAUGUGGGAUAACUUUGUAGAAGUGAGAGAGGGAAGUUGUUUUUGCUAUUGUGUUGACCUGGCACGUGUGGGGGGUUCCCAAGAUGUAGAAUUGUGUUGAUAACUUUCCUUGUGAAUUAAAAGGUGGGAGGAAUUGGUUUGAUGAACAUAGCUGAGGCAGCAAACAAUAUAAAUUGCAGCAAAUGCAGGGGUAGCCCCAACAGUUUCUUGAACCAGGGCCCUGGUAACCUAACAUCUUAGCCGUUACGCCAAGAGAUCUGAACCUCUUUAUUAGGAUGCUAGGUGUUGGUUCCUACUAUAUAUUGCCCAGGAAGUGCACACACCUGGUUUCCCAGGAGUAACAAUGAAUUUAUUACGAUUUACUUAUAACAAAGACUUAUUCAAUAAAUUAUAUAAUAAUAUUUCAUCGCACCUAAAUUAACAUGAUUUAAAAUCCAUUGUAAAUAGUUUUCCAACUCAGAUCAAGGGGCAAGCGAAGAUCGAAUAGGGAAUUUAGGAUUAUCAAUCUGAAAGUUCUAACCUGAAUAUGCACUUAAAAACUCUUGAUCGAUCAACAACAGCCUAUAGGUAAAUGAAAAAAGCUCAUAUACUGUACUUUUGUACAUUGGUGAACCAUUCCUCCUUUGACCUGGACAGCACUCACCCCUCCUUAUUUCAUGUAACUCCUAUGCAUGACUUUCCGCCAGUCUCUGUUCCCUCACACAAAAAACAAAGGGGGAAAGAACACAUUAUGCUUUUUAAUUUGAUUUACCAGUCAAUCAUCGUCAUCCACCCACAGCGUCAGACAUUUUGUUUCCAUCAUCCUCCAAAGGCAAAAUUUCGAGAACAAGUCUGACAUGAUCAGGAACAGGUAAAAGGUGAGCACAAAUUGCCUUUCAAACUUCACAAAUCAAAUCUGGGCAAUGGCUUCUCUAGAGAAGAUGGGCCUAUACUGUAAGUGAAAGCUCAAUCAAGUCUUCCCAGCGCAUUAGACCAUGUACCUUGGUUGCCUGCAGUGCACCUCUCUAUGAGCCUAGGCAGAGUGUAACGAAUUUACCACUGUACAUUACCGCUGUAAUAGGACAGUAGCUUUAGAUGCACCUGGAUGGAGCUGUCGUUCCUGGUUUUGAGCAAUUACCGAAAUUGGACAAGAAGAAAGAAGCGAGGAGCCGUAAUUCUGAAAUGAUUAUCGCAGCCAGGCACACAAUGAAGUAGCUCGUACAAAGGGCUGCCUUCUGCUCAGUUGCAAGAUUGAGUUGUGUUAAGAGUUGUAGACUCGAGUCACAUGUCUUGGACUUGAGUCUGACUCGAGUCACAAAUUUGAUGACUUGAGACUUGACUUGAUAGAAAAUAAAAUAACUUGAGACUUGACUUGGACUUGUAGCCUCAUUGCUGGUCACGUUUUGUAACGUUUUGUCACACAUUUUGUGGCAAAGAGUCUUUGUGGAUUACUCUCCACGAAGCCAGAGACAGUAGCCGCAGCAUCGCCCUUGCAAAAAUACGUGCAACAGAUUGGAUAGUAAAACGCACACUUGGCCCUCUGAUUGGAACAGCAAACUGUCAGUCAACACAGGUCAGGUGAGCUAGCAAACAGAUUGCUGAUUUGCUGUACAUCUAUAGGAGCAGGUGCAGAAAACAUUCAAUUGUAGGGAGAGAGGAUUGCCAUAAUAAGUAAAUAUGCAGCUCCAAAAAUAGUUUGGUGAUCAAGAAGAUGAACUAUUUACUGUGCAAGCUCACCAGCAACGGGGCAUCAAGAAACAAUUAAGUCUACUGGCAUAAACGUACUGGUCUUUUGGUAUGUCAAAAUUGCUUGAAAUAUAUAAUAUACUUAUGAAGCUUGCAUUUAUUACUGUGGACAUAGUCACAGUUCUCCACUUGCGCUCUCAAAACUCCUGCCAGUGGAGAGCGAUUUGUUUUCUUGUUGAUAUGUUUUCUGUUGCUUUCACACAUUUAAAUGCAUAUGUGGUAUAUAUAUUGCAUCUAAUCCUACAAUAAUUGCUAGAGUUUCAUAAUUUCCUCCCCAUACAGUUGAUUGCAACCCUUAGAACAUUUUCAUUUAGUCUACCAUUUCUUACACUCUGGGGGGACAAGAUAUGUAUUGUGCACAUGAACAUUUGUAGAAGUUCUGUAUUUUUAUAGUUUCCCUUGUUCAUAUUUCCUGGGUUAUGUUGGAUUUCCGUUUGUCUGUUUGUGCUUUCAAGACAACUGGGAACUUGGGGGAAAAAACUAGGCCAAAUCAUCAUUUCAGUGAUCUUCAGGUCGGAAAGUUGGAGCUCUAGAAAAAUGGCCAAUAUUCCGACUUGGAAUUCCAAGGUUGGAUGACCAUUCAAAACAUUUUUCCCAGUCGGAGCUCGUUUUUGUUUCAGAGUUCCUAGUUGUCUUGAACGCUCGGAAGUCUGAGUUUUCCCGAGUUCCCAAUUCCCAGUUGGUUUCAACACAGCAUGUGUCCUAUGUCUCUGUCAUUCUGGUUGUGCAUAAUAGGAGCACACAUGCCUCAGUGCGCAUAUCGGCUACAUGGCCUGCGGCGCCACACUUUUGUUGAAUAAAACAAAAUGAUUGUUCCAUGUAUGAAUGGUGAGGAAAUCAAAUCAAUAAUCAUUAUAUCUGCUUAAGACUAAUAUAACAAUGGGUGUGGAAUUUUGAUUUGGUUUCUCGAGGGGAGGCUUUGCCAUCUUGCCCUCUGCCCAUUCAGAUAAGAAAGGUUAAGCCUAAUACAUAAGCUAUUUUGGGCCGUGUAUUUCCUGUAUAAUAUGUCGCUUUUACCUUUGGAUCACCAAGACCUGUAAAUAAAUCUACACUCUGAGCGAGUUCUACUAAAGGUCCCUUUUACAAUUUCAUAAUGAAAAUGUGCUGUAGACAAAAUAAUGAAAACUGCUGUCUGGUAAGCCUCAAUAAAUAGCCUCAAUGUA